rnacentral:lncRNA from 3 species
AUGGUGAAUUUGCUGAUAUUUUACCACCUGAUGAUGAUUUGCCACAUGGUGAGGGGCCUGUCGAUCCAAAUGUUGAGGAUGCACCAGCCUGGCAGUUUGGAAAUGAACAGCAGUAGCAUAAUCAGCAGAAUCCAAAUUGGGGAGCUUGGGAGGAUAAUCAGGGAGUUGUUGAUUGAUUUGCAAGCAAGCUCUGCAAGCUCUGUAUCUACCUACCCUUCUGCUAGCUCUGCAAGUAUUGCGGAUUUGGCAGUCAGCAUAUCUACUGAUGAACAGGCUUUAACCUCUCCAGACAAGAGUAUUGUGGUUCAUAAGGAUUCUGUUCAUGCUGACUUAUAUAAUUAUCUUUGUGAGAGGUUUCCCCAUAUCAUGUUUGAUAAACACUUUACUCAAGAUUCUUCCUUUUGGGCUGCUCUCAGUAUUGGACCAUAUAUGCCUGGUGAAUCAUCUUCUUCUGGGCAGCAUCUGGGCUAUAGUCAGGGAAUGGAAUCGGAAUUGCCA